rnacentral:misc_RNA from 1 species
AAGGAUCAUUACCUGGCCUUGGGCCGCUCGCGGGAGCUAGUCGCUUGCGAUGAUGCUGCCGGGAGUGCUUAGCCCUUGAUUAUCACCUUGAUUAUAUGCACCUUUUGUUGUUUCCUCGGCAGGUCUCCUGCCGCCAGGAACCCCAUAAACUCUUUUGUAUUAGCAUUUACACUUCUGAAAACAAACUAAAUUAUUUACAACUUUUAACAAUGGAUCUCUUGGUUCUG